rnacentral:rRNA from 1 species
GACGAACCGAGCGAACGUUAUUCGGAAUCACUGGGCUUAAAGGGCGCGUAGGCGGGUCGUCAAGUCAGGGGUGAAACCCCGCAGCUCAACUGGGGAAGGGCCUUUGAUACUGGCGGCCUUGAAGGAGGUAGGGGCGUGCGGAACUUCCGGUGGAGCGGUGAAAUGCGUAGAUAUCGGAAGGAACACCGGUGGCGAAAGCGGCGCGCUGGACCUCUUCUGACGCUGAGGCGCGAAAGCCAGGGGAGCGAACGGG